rnacentral:rRNA from 1 species
UACGUAGGGUGCAAGCGUUGUCCGGAAUCAUUGGGCGUAAAGCGCGUGUAGGCGGUUACGUAAGUCUGCUGUGAAAGUCGGAGGCUCAACCUUCGAAAGCCGGUGGAUACUGCGUGACUAGAGUACGGAAGAGGAGAGUGGAAUUCCUGGUGUAGCGGUGAAAUGCGCAGAUAUCAGGAGGAACACCAACGGCGAAGGCAGCUCUCUGGGACGUUACUGACGCUGAGACGCGAAAGCGUGGGGAGCAAACAGG